CCAAUAUGCCCAUUCUAUAUAGAGAAAGGAAAAAAAAAUUAAUCAUAUUUGCAUUUCACAAUAUAAACUAAGACUGAAAAGAUAACAAAAUAAAGGAUACAAAAAUGACUAAAGACCUCAGAAUUGUUAAUUUCCAUUAAAAAAUUUUGAAGAAAAUAUUAAUUCUCAACCGCAUAAAAUAAUAUCAAGACCAGCUUUAAAGUUCACUGAUCAGAAAACAAA
rnacentral:lncRNA from 1 species